UCCAGGAGAAUACCACAGUCACAAGAGCAGGGGUACCCUGGGAGAGGCUCUGCCAAUGGCACUUUCAUAUUCCUUAGUAGCGCAGUACUCAUUAGCACAGACUGGGGAAGCCAGGUGAAUUGUGUCCAUGAGUGUCUCUACUGGGGUCUGGAAAGACCUUCCGCACAGAUCAGGACACAUAAGUGGUGAGGAGUAAGAACAACCCACCUUAGUAUGCAGCACAGCACAACCUUAUGGCAUUCUCUUGGGAGAUAAGUGAUGCUGGUUCUAGUUCCCCCAGGCAGAGGAGGAAAUUAAACCCAGGACUCCCACAUCCUUUAUGAGCGAAUAAAAAGUGGCUGUCUUCCUCUCAGCUUUGUGAAUAUAAUCGUGAUAUUUUCUUCCGGGGAAUCAAUUUGGAAUUCAAACAGAGGGAUGCAUGAGGCCUUGCUGACGGCUUCCAGACUGAAAAAGAAAGCGGAGGGAAAAGGGGCAUUUCUCUGACCUUCCUCGGUGAUUGCUCAGAACUGUGUCUACUGAUGGCCGUGUCCAACACCGACAAGAAGAGGCAAGAGAAGUCAAAAUCUGAGGAGUGAGAUGUUCUGCUAGCACAGAAAAGCCACCUGGAGAAACAAAAACAAAUGUCACACAGCUGCGAGUGGGAGAAAUGCUAUUGUUUUCCUGGUAGCCCGUCCUUCCAGUCUUCUGAGAGAAGCGGGGGAAGGAGGAUUUGACCCUCACUGAGUGAAGGAGUUGCUGAUUUAGUCAAGUCAAGAACAGGAUGCGACGCUUUGGUCUAGUGCAUUGACAUUUGCAUCUCUGAGUGAGAAUGCUUAUUUUCAUUGGAGGAACAGCAAGACUGCCUUUUGAAACAUUUAAAGGUAAUCAAGCUUUUGGAGAGGAAGUGAAUGUAUUUUGAUGGAAAGCUUUGAGUCUCUCUGGACCUGCCAGAAUGGUUACGGAAAGACUGGAGCCUUUCCGUGUGUGCAUCUUUUUAAACUGUGUGGUCUGUUUGGGGAGUUGCAUAUAAAUAUUUACAUUUGUAUUUUACUUUCACCUGAUGUAAGAGUGAUUUCAAGGUAAAUGGCUGAGAGCAAAACGUUGCUGAUCUAAAAUUAAGAGAACGUGUCCUUCUGAAGCAGGUUAGCUCAGGUUGAGAGUAAGUAUCAGAGGGGUCUGGAGAGGAUGAUGUCUUUUCCACUGACUAGCACUGGCUAGGGGACGACUCUGACAUACAGCAAAUAAGAAAAAGGCACUCUUGCAUGCUGAAUUCUCAUAAGAAUUUUGCACAAGACAGCAAAAAGCAAGCUUUUGCCCCAGAAGUAUACCCUUUCUCUCCCUCCUCCAAAGCCCCUUGGGACUGCGGUACGGAUUGCUGGUGGUUAAUACUUUGCACGUGGACUGAACUGUGUCAGGCAGAGGAAUGAGAAUAGUGUCAGAGUUGUGCGGAAGAAUCCCUGGGCAUGUCCUGUCUCCAGACAUAAGCUCAACCCAUAUCUAUUCCUGGAUUUUGAAGCACUGCAGAAAAGUGUUACUCGGGCAGAGUCUAAAUGCGGUAAAAGCUAAUAGUCAGUAGGACACAGUGGAGGAUUUGAUUCUUCAGUAAUGUCAAGACAAAUACGAAUUCUUCCUCCAAGGAAAACAAAACAAAUGCUCUCUUUCCAUAAGGGAUGUGACAACCCUAAGCAAUUGUGCAACCCUCUGCAAUACAUGAUCCAAACUGAGGUCCAUAUUCUUCCACGUAUCUGCUUCUAUGACAUGGAAGCUUACAGAUAGAUGUUAUGCUUUUAAGAUGGGGCAGGAUCUGUGCCCCUACCUGGAGAUCUUUCUUGCUAUACCUUUGUUGUGGUGAACUACUCCUGGAAACCGAUGCCACAGCAGAGUAAAACAGUGAAUACUGGGGCAUCUGUGGGCAGCCACACAAAAACUGCUCACAUGGGUGGCCAGUUAAGUCACUUCUCUGCUAAUGUAGAUAGGCCAAAGCUCAUUUGGACCAUAUCUAUUCUGCAUAACUUUACAAAAUCCGCUUUUAUUUGAAUCCCAGGUUAUCAAGUUGCAUUAAUCUCAGUGAAAGCAGGAAUCCUAAGGAGAAACGACAGGGGCUUAUGGUAUUACUGCAAAACACUCUGGACAUGCACAGCAUGAAGAAACAAGUCGGAAGGUACAUUUAGAUGCACCAGACUCAAAUCAGAUAAACUCACAGGAUUCACGUGGCCUCUGACACCAGGUGAUUGCAAAUGGUAAUAAACACAAUCCAAAUUUAGGUUGGCACACACUUUCCUAGGAAGGGGGAGGGGGGGAACAGCUGCGUUUUAACAGACUAAAAGUGGUUAGAGAACUUUGUUAAUUCAGACAUAAACCUGUUAGCAUAAAAUAUUGCCAGAGGUCUGCAAUGGCCUCAGACAGUUUACAUUUUUCAUCACUGCUAGAGACAACUAACCCUUUCUCUCCCUAAGGAUAAUAUUGCUUCUCCACGAGGCAACCCAAAAGCCAAUCUCUUUGUACACAAGAGAAAUGCCUCUAAUCUAGACUUUAUUAGACCGAUCAUUAUAUAAUGGCUUUAGAAACUCUGGACAAAACACAGUAGUGGGUUUAGCCGACGGUAAUGUCAGACUGCUGUCAAUAAUCCCUAGCAGAUGCAAACGUGUGACCCUUUUUCCCAUAAUUGUUGAAUAUUUAUUUUUAUCUUAUAAUGUUAAUAAGGUUUAUUGUGCUGCAGAGAGAGCUGAUAUCACAUGACCUUCAUCUUCCUGACUCACAACAAAACCAGAAACAUUACACUGCCUGUCACGUCCUGUUGUUUAAUGAUAAUGUGUAGGUUAGUUGCUUUUCUUCUCCACACAAUAUUAUUUAUUCCUUUCGGGCUGCCUUCCCUUAUUCGGAGUUGCCAUCGUGCUAAGCAAAAAAAAAAAAGCGUAACUGAAAUAGGAGAUUCUGAAGCAUCUUUUCAGCAUGAGCAGUGGAAACAACAACAAAAAAAUAGAACCAGUUUUUAGACAGCACUCAAUCAGGUUAUAAAUGGCAUUAAAAGACGCGAUUGCCGAGAAGAGCAGGGACUGGAUUUGAAGAAGCAGGAGACACUGAGCAAUGCAGCCUUCCUAAAUGAGACCUAGAUAAAAGCCUGAGUAACCCCAGUCUCAGUAAACAAAAACAGACUAUGUGAAGGACGUGGGAGGUAAAAAACAGUCUUCGUUUUCCUUGGAACAAAAUUAGCUCUCCUCAUGUCGAUUGGAGGUGGCGAGAGCCCAAAAUAAAGGUUUGCAUCUGGUCCUUUAUUUGUGUUGUGCUGAGCUGGGAUCCCCAACGCAGAGAGCUCCUUUUGGAUCAGCCACGCUGGUGUUGCCUGGCACAUUAAGAGCCACGUGGAUAGAGACAGAAGAAUGCGAUAGCGUGGAGAACCAGACUGUAGCUUAGGCUGCAUCUUUUCACCGUGCUGCGAGGAAAGGGGAGCACGCAGAGAAAAGCAGGCGUGUGAAGAGGCUGCUCGCUGGUAAAGCAGACCACAGCAUUUGCUACGGCGGUCGUAGAUCAGACUGCUCACGGAAAGGGGCCCUUGUCUGAAGAUUCCCACUCCAGUCCCAUUGACUUUAUGGAUAGUCCUCGGGAUCUUGUCUGAGCACAUCCAAAUGUUUGUACAGCACCUGAUGCAAACAGGCCGUCGUCCUGCUUCAUUUGUCAAAUGAUAAAUAACAUAAUAAUGCUGUAAUUGGAGUCAUUCAUACAGACAGUAAUCAUCUGGUGAUUCAGUACAGCACAGACUUGUGAGGUGGAAGGCUGUGCUAAGCUUAUGCAGAGACUUCUAUCUUGCUCAUCAGUUUCUGCACGCUAAAUAUAUUCUGAAUUUACGAAUGCUGAAGUUUUAAGGUGAGAUUUUCUAUGCUUGGGCUCAACCCAAAAAUGAUUCAUUUCCGUAAUGCCGGAAUAAAACUGUUCAGGCACUUUUGAGUUAUGUAAGACUGAAAGACAAGGUAUUGAUAAUGUUGCUAUUAACAGCAGAAUCAAGACUCCCUGACAGCACCUAUAAUAAUAUUUUUUUAUUUAUUGAGCAAAGAGCAGCAAUGCAGAGGGAGGCAGAAGGCAGGAAACUUCAGAGAGUUUAUGCCUGCCAGCCAGCAGCACUUGGUCCUGAAAUCAGGCUCUGGCGAUGUGCAGUGCACGGCAAAAAUACUUGAAUUAAUGCCUAAGACCUUGCUGAUACAUACCUCAUAGUUAAUCUGGUUACGCGGGGUUUAUUUCACAGUCGGAAGUUCUUGCGCUGGAAGGGAGUCCUGCUGGGGUUUUCUGAGCACACGAUGGAAUUAAUGAAUGCACAAAUGCAGCUUGCCAGCCUAGAUUUAAAUUGCUUACUAGAUCAAAAUCUGCUCGUUUUCUCUGUCCUUUUCUUUUUUUUUUUUUUUUUUCCCCUUCCCAGCCUCUCUGUCCUUUAUUUAUUAAUUUGUUUAGGAAAACAUAUCAGGAGCACAGAAAGUGCCCGUGGACGUCACCAAGGCAGCUAACGCAGAUAAAUGGCUGUUUUUUCACGCUGGCCUGAAUCCUGGCACGAGGCUUUGAGCUGUGCUUCUGGGCACGGGGCAUCCUGGCAGGGGCUGGUGGGUGGCUGGUGCUGGCUGGGGAUGCGAGGAGCCGCAGCCACCAGCGAUCCCUUUCUGCAGCCCCUGGGAAAAGGACAGCAUUACCAGCCCUGCUCUGAAAGGGCAGGCAGUAAACCUGGGCUGCUCUGCAGGAAGGGUCACGUUGUUUCUAUCUUUUGGAUCCACGCUGCCUCUUGUCAGAUUUUAAUGGGUGCUUGCAAAUAGCAUAAUAUUUUGAUUUAUUUGGCCGCCGGGCAGAUCUCCAGCCUGCUGUCUUGACUGUGGCGUUUGUAUUUUAAUAGGAGUUUUAAGAAGGCUUGGCUAGGGGUAUUUAAGGUAGUCCCUGAGCUUUUAUGUAGACCUUCUCAGCCGUGAUUAGAAGCGCGGCGCCGCAGAGAUGUGGAGGCAGAUUUUUAGGAUGUGGAGAUGCAGAGAUUCUGCAAGAGUGCCCUCAGCGAUGCCCUCCUAAAGCCUCUUUCAGAUGAGCGAGCUCAUCUCCCGCUGCCCGUUGAAUCCCUUUUCACAUCCCGGCCUCUGGACUCCUUAACACUGCGUCCAACCGCGCUGCGCAAGGCCAGGAUGAAGGCAGCCCUUGCUCCUCCCUGAGCCGCUCAGGCUGGGCAUGGUGGAAGGAAGGAUGCCUGCUCACCCCUCCCAGCUCCCCAGCACCUGCUUUUCAGGGCCGGACACCUCCCUCCCGGCCCUGGCGCUGGGACGUGCUGCAAGGAGGUAAUGUAUGGAUGCACGGAGCUCAAGGCAGCGAGACGCCUCCCCGGACUCCUGUCUGCAUGCUCAUGAGCAAAAGGGAUAGGAGACAAAUGCGGCUCCUUCAAGGUGAAGGGCAGCGGUGGCAUGAAGGAAAAGUAGCCUGUGCUCUGUGCUGAAGCCAGGAGACCCUCCUGAAAAUUCACCGCUUUUCAUUUUUAAUGACGUCUUAGAUGGGAAUUUCAGAGCUUGUGAAAACCAGAGGCUGAUAAAUCUGCAGGGUUAAUCAAGAGAGAGCCUGCCUGCCAACGUAUCCAGGUGUCCUGAGCUGCACUAUCGCUGCUCUUCCUCACCUUUCUCCCCCUGUGCUGCAGACACAGCCCGAGCAGGGAUGGAUGGCUACGCUGCAUGGUGCAGUGCAGGCACUGCAUUAUUCACCAGGUUUCCUUGGCUCAUCUAGAGACUUGACUAUGAAUUUGUCUCCAGGUCUUCGGCUUUGCAACCCCAAUGUGCCCACCCAGCUUUGCCUGCUGCUGGCUUAACCCUGCCUGUCUGGACCCCGAUCCCACCAAGGAGGAUAAAGCAGGGAGAGCACCAAGGUGCAUUUCUGCUGUACAGCAUCCCAGAGGGAGCAGGAGCUCUUCAGAGAUGAAAAUCUGCUUUGACAUGUGAGACUCAACCCUCCAUUAAAUGAGGAGCUGAAGAAGUCACCUGUUUGGACUUUGAAGAGUCAUGGUGGCCACCUAACUAACCCUUUUGGUGGGGCAGUUUAAUCCCUGAAAGGGUACUGUGGCCCUAAGCUCCCCAGUCACAGCCCAGAAGCAGCUAAAGCAAGGAGGUGUGAUGACUGGGAUGGAUGGAUGGAUGGAUGGAUGGAUGGAUGGAUGGAUGGAUGGAUGGAUGGAUGGAUGGAUGAUUUUAACAGGUACCUUGGAGCCCAGCAUGUCACCAACUCUGCAGUCCUUUGGUUCCAGGUUUCAUCAUGAAGCCCUUCAGAGACACUGAGCUGCAUGUAGCACCCUCCCUUCCUUAUCUGCCUGUCCCAGGGGCAGCUGGAGGACACAGUUGGAGAAGGGAAGCUCCCAGCCCCACGGCUACCCGGGCACCUUGGAAGAGGGCAGGCUGUACCCAGGCGAUAAACGAUUGCAAAGCAGCCCAUUAAUUCAGGAGCAAAGAUACAAAGAACAGCCCACCAGAGCUUCAAACUUCACCAUUUUGCUGUACCAAACCUCCCUUGAAAUGCUAAUUAAAACGAGCUUGGGGAGAGGAGCCUGCUAACAGGAUCACAGCCUCUCUUGCAUCGAGCAAUAGACGUGUAGUAGGCAUCCAUGUUUCCCCGUACGCUUAUUUUCCAAGCUGAGUUGACUGUAAAUGUUGCGGUAAUGUGAAACCCACAGAGGGAGCGGGAUGCAAACACAAAGCAGAAGGAGACGCGAGGCCUAGUCACGGAGCUGCAAUAGAAAAAUACAUGGCAGCCUUCGGCAUAUAAAUAAAUAACUGCCCGAAACGAGGGCUAAUUAACUUGCAAUAAACCGACUUAACCACUUAGGGGCAGCGUUAACACGGAGUUAACAUGCAAAACAAACCUGUGUGUUCUCACCUGGUUAAUUGAAUAUGCGCCCUGAAUAUUCAUGGUGUAUCAAAUAGCGAUACGUCCACGCACUGAGUGAUGCGGUCUGUCAAAGCCGGGGACGUGAGAUAAUGGGGGUAACUCAGUCGCUGCUGCGCAGCGUUAACUUUGAUCAUUUGGCGCUUCUAAACACAUCCAUAGAUGUAGGACUUUGCUGCUUUUCCUCUGUCGGGGUCACGGAGCGUGUUCUAUACAAAGAUUAAAACCUAAAGGAAAAAAAAAAGACAUAAAAAAGGGCUUCACUUAAAAUAAACAGAAAGAAGAUGAAACAGAGAAAAAGCCGUCUUUGAGAAAUGCUGCUCUCGCAUGCAGGAGCUGAAAAACCCAUUUUAUCUCCAUGGCCACAUUCGGCGUCACUUUACUUUCACACAAUAUGUUUCUUCUCUACCACGCAUUCAAAAAAACCCCCGGUUCCUUGGAUUCCUCUGAAACGUUUCCUUGCAUCAUAAAGGAGCUCAGACCCACCGCGGGUGUGUUUACACUCCCGGAUCAGAACAAGUAAAUAAAGGAAAGGGGUUUGGUAGUGCGGCUUGAGUAGCUUCAGGUAGCUCCGGCAGGUGGAAGCCAUGGGGAAAACACCAUCAUCUGCUGCCCUGCUCAGUGCUGGGGCACAGGGGCUCUGGUUCUUGCAGCGUUUAGGUGCCCAGUACAGCAGGUGCCCUCUCAACCAGCACCAGGAGCACCGGCUUGCUCAGCACAAGGAAUGCGAUCUGGACCAGGUUCAAGUGUGCCAUCGCCUUUCUGGUGUUAUCCCGAAGUCGGAUGGAAAAAAAGCCUGGAAGAAGCAAGAUGGAGCCGAAGCGGCAGCUGGAAAGUAUGGAAGAGAUGUUUCUGCUUUCCUGGGGCGCCUUUACCCUGAGCUGCAGUCAGAAACAUGCUUUGGGGAAAAAAUGCUGAACUCUUGACUGCUGUUAAUAGCCAUGGGCAGGAUAAUGGCUGUGAGAAGGGAGUGCUUCCUGCUGGGACAGGGACAGAAUGAAGCGCAGUUCACUGGAACUGCGGUCACUGACACGGGCUCAGAAGUUCCUUAUCUCUCCCGGCUGUAAUGGGGCUGGGGGAGAGGUGAGACACAUAGGGCAGAGAGGUUGUGAGAAACUGAGCAAGACCCCAAAGGAUAGCGUGAAAAGAAAGAGCCAAGUAAAUGCAAUCCUCGGUUCCAAUCAGGAAAGUUAGGAAAUGAGAUCUGAAACACCCUCCUGGGAGUCUGGUGUGUGCUGAAGAAGCACGCUGAAAGAAAUUCUCAUGCAAGCCGUGUCACUGUGAUUGUCAAAGAAACUGAGCCCUCACUCCUUUCUUUUGUGGCAAUUUUCUUUCAGACAGCUCCUGUCUUUUUUUUUUUUUUUCCUUUCCCCCCAUAAUAGAAAUGGAUAUCCUCACAUUAUUCACUGUUUGCUCUUUUACUGAAAUUAUGGGAUGUGGGGCUUGUUCUGAGGGAUAGUUUGGAAAGGUCCCUGUUUGUCUGAUUUGCCUGGUAAUAAAGUCCAAAGCAGACUCUGUCUUCCUAAAGCACAAGCUAAGUGAGGAAAGAAGCUGCAGAGGACAGGUCUGGAGUCCCUGAGGAGCUGUCAAGGCAGAGGAGAAUUCACAAAUGCAGGUGAAGAGGCUGUGCUUCUCAUAAACAAAGAGCAAGCCGUGCUUCUCAGGUGGAGAUGAUUGCCUCUAGAUUAAGGAGGGCUGCAAAUGAAGAAUAAAAGUUCAUUGCUGUGAGCGA